rnacentral:lncRNA from 1 species
GUGGCAUAUGCUAUAAAGUUGAAUACGUUGAUGCUUCCACUCCACCUCCGGAGAAAGAAUGGUGUCACGAGCACGUCAUGCUUGUGUUCCAUUGAACACUUAUCUUCACCUUCCUUGAUACACGUAUGCAGACCUUUCUUGUGACAUUCUUGUGGUUUCCAAUGCAGCUUUCUAAAACCAAGUAACCAGUUGAAAUAUCUCUCUUUCAGUGUUUGAGGCUCUUUGGGGAUGUUCUUCAAGCUACUAAGUGCAACACAUGUCCAGUCUGAGAACAUAAACAAGAUGAGGGAUAUGAAAUCCAAAGCUAUGCCAACUGCAAACAGCAUGUAGGUAACGACAACAUCAGUUCCAUGAAAUAGUUUGUCUUUUUUGAGUUUCUUAUCAAAGAGGAUGAAUGCAGUCACUAGGGUGCCAGAAGCAACGAUGCGUGAGGAAGCUCCAAAAACCGUAUAAAGAACUCUGAUCUUGGUGAAUAGAGUAUCAUAGAGGAAAC